rnacentral:tRNA from 1 species
GCGCUCAUAGCUCAGUUGGAUAGAGCAGUGGACUUCUAAUCCACCGGUCGCAGGUUCGAGUCCUGCUGGGCGCACCA